rnacentral:rRNA from 1 species
UACGGAGGGUGCAAGCGUUAUCCGGAUUCACGGGGUUUAAAGGGUGCGUAGGUGGGCAAGUAAGUCAGUGGUGAAAUCUCCGGGCUUAACCCGGAAACUGCCAUUGAUACUAUUUGUCUUGAAUACUGUGGAGGUCAGCGGAAUAUGUCAUGUAGCGGUGAAAUGCUUAGAUAUGACAUAGAACACCAAUUGCGAAGGCAGCUGGCUACACAAAUAUUGACACUGAGGCACGAAAGCGUGGGGAUCAAACAGG